UACACUCCUGCGGGAGGCAGCAGUGGGGAAUAUUGCACAAUGGGCGCAAGCCUGAUGCAGCCAUGCCGCGUGUAUGAAGAAGGCCUUCGGGUUGUAAAGUACUUUCAGCGGGGAGGAAGGCAAUACGGUUAAUAACCGUGUUGAUUGACGUUACCCGCAGAAGAAGCACCGGCUAACUCCGUGCCAGCAGCCGCGGUAAUACGGAGGGUGCAAGCGUUAAUCGGAAUUACUGGGCGUAAAGCGCACGCAGGCGGUCUGUCAAGUCGGAUGUGAAAUCCCCGGGCUCAACCUGGGAACUGCAUUCGAAACUGGCAGGCUUGAGUCUUGUAGAGGGGGGUAGAAUUCCAGGUGUAGCGGUGAAAUGCGUAGAGAUCUGGAGGAAUACCGGUGGCGAAGGCGGCCCCCUGGACAAAGACUGACGCUCAGGUGCGAAAGCGUGGGGAGCAAACAGGAUUAGAAACCCGGGUAGUCCCA
rnacentral:rRNA from 1 species